rnacentral:rRNA from 2 species
CCUGGUGGGUAUAGUUGUAUGGCCACACCCGUUCCCAUUCCGAACACGGUCGUUAAGCAUACAACGUCGAUGAUACUCGGCUGGAGACGGCCCGGGAAAGUAGAUACUGCCAGGU